rnacentral:rRNA from 1 species
CUGUGACUCCUACGGGAGUCAGCAGUGGGGAAUAUUGCACAAUGGGCGCAAGCCUGAUGCAGCCAUGCCGCGUGUAUGAAGAAGGCCUUCGGGUUGUAAAGUACUUUCAGCAGUGAGGAAGGUGGUGCAGUUAAUAGCUGUAUCAUUUGACGUUAGCUGCAGAAGAAGCACCGGCUAACUCCGUGCCAGCAGCCGCGGUAAUACGGAGGGUGCGAGCGUUAAUCGGAAUUAUUGGGCGUAAAGCGCAUGCAGGUGGUUUGUUAAGUCAGAUGUGAAAGCCCCGGGGCUCAACCUCGGAACUGCAUUUGAAACUGGCAGACUAGAGUACUGUAGAGGGGUAGAAUUUCAGGUGUAGCGGUGAAAUGCGUAGAGAUCUGAAGGAAUACCGGUGGCGAAGGCGGCCCCCUGGACAGAUACUGACACUCAGAUGCGAAAGCGUGGGGAGCAAACAGGAUUAGAUACCCUGGUAG